rnacentral:rRNA from 1 species
AGAGUUUGAUCCUGGCUCAGGACGAACGCUGGCGGCGUGCCUAACACAUGCAAGUCGAACGGACGAGAGGGAGCUUGCUCCCUCAAGUUAGUGGCGGACGGGUGAGUAACGCGUGAGUAACUUGCCUUGGAGUGGGGAAUAACAGUCCGAAAGGACUGCUAAUACCGCAUAAUGCAGUUGGGCCGCAUGGCUCUGACUGCCAAAGAUUUAUCGCUCUGAGAUGGCCUCGCGUCUGAUUAGCUAGUAGGCGGGGUAACGGCCCACCUAGGCGACGAUCAGUAGCCGG